CAGCCGCCACGGUAAUACGUAGGGUGCAAGCGUUGUCCGGAUUUAUUGGGCGUAAAGAGCUCGUAGGCGGUUUGUCGCGUCGGCUGUGAAAACUCGGGGCUCAACCCCGAGCCUGCAGUCGAUACGGGCAGACUAGAGUUCGGUAGGGGAGACUGGAAUUCCUGGUGUAGCGGUGAAAUGCGCAGAUAUCAGGAGGAACACCGAUGGCGAAGGCAGGUCUCUGGGCCGAUACUGACGCUGAGGAGCGAAAGCGUGGGGAGCGAACAGGAUUAGAUACCCCCGUAGUCCCUGUCUCUUAUAC
rnacentral:rRNA from 1 species